CAGUUUAGACUGAGGAAGCUUUUCAGCUGAACAUUGAGAGACGACAUCCCACAUACUGAGGAAACAAGGAACCAGAUAGACAAACUGCUGGAGGAAAAUAAUUCAUCUGACAGCAAAGAUGCAGUGGAGUCUGAUUCUGCUCUUCCUGAUGGCUCAGUGUUGCUUCAUUGACUGUCAGCUCUAUCAGUUUCACUACAUUAAUGAGAAUAAAACCUGGACUGAAGCUCAGCAGUACUGCAGAGAGAAUCACACUGACCUGGCCACAGUGACUAACAUGAAGGACAUGAAGAGACUCAUCAACAUCUCAG